rnacentral:rRNA from 1 species
UACGGAGGGGGCUAGCGUUGUCCGGAAUCAUUGGGCGUAAAGAGCGUGUAGGCGGCCCGGUAAGUCCGCUGUGAAAGUCGGGGGCUCAACCCUCGGAUGCCGGUGGAUACUGUCGGGCUCGAGUACGGAAGAGGCGAGUGGAAUUCCUGGUGUAGUGGUGAAAUGCGCAGAUAUCAGGAGGAACACCUAUUGCGAAGGCAGCUCGCUGGGACGUUACUGACGCUGAGACGCGAAAGCGUGGGGAGCAAACAGG